rnacentral:rRNA from 1 species
GACAGAGGUGCCAAGCGUUAGGCGGAAUCACUGGGCUUAAAGCGUGUGUAGGUGGAAGCGUAAGUACCUUGUGAAAUCCCACGGCUUAACCGUGGAACUGCUCGGUAUACUGCCGGUCUUGAGCCACCUAGGGGCGAGCGGAACAAAUGGUGGAGCGGUGAAAUGCGUAGAUAUCAUUUGGAACGCCAAUGGUGAAAACAGCUCGCUGGGGGUGUGCUGACGCUGAGACACGAAAGCCAGGGGAGCAAACGGG